rnacentral:rRNA from 1 species
UACAGAGGUCUCAACCGUUGUUCGGAUUCAUUGGGCGUAAAGGGUGCGUAGGCGGCGCGGUAAGUCGGGUGUGAAAUCUCGGGGCUUAACUCCGAAACUGCAUUCGAUACUGCCGUGCUUGAGGACUGGAGAGGAGACUGGAAUUUACGGUGUAGCGGUGAAAUGCGCAGAUAUCAGGAGGAACACCGGUGGCGAAGGCGGGUCUCUGGGCAAUAACUGACGCUGAGGAGCGAAAGCGUGGGGAGCGAACAGG